rnacentral:lncRNA from 1 species
CAUCCUUUCAAAUUGAUAUUUUCAGAGUCCAUACAAGUUAAAAAAGAAACGAAAAUUUACUCAAAAUUAGCACAUGAACCUAUAUUUUCACCAGCCAUUUAAAAAUUGAACAAAUAUGUCACUCAAAUUUACUUAUGAAAAAACUUAUCAAAAUAUCUUUCACUAAGACAUUCUCUUUGUUUGGUAAGUUAUAUUGUUUGACAUGUUUUUUAGAAUAGUUUGAAAAAUUUACAAUCAAACACAGAGAAAGUUUAUGAAAUCCCCCCUGCAUCACUAUUACAACAGUUCUCUGAAAUUCACUCUAUACCACAAUUGGUUUGUAUGUAUCUAUUGCUAUAUCAAUGAUAUAACCCC